AAAUGCCCAUUCAGUGUGCCUUAAAAUGGUCAUAUAAGUUGAUGAGAUUUGAAUAAAGGCCUUUAAUAAAAAUAAAAUAACAAAGUUUUCCAUUCAUAUAGUGAACUUGCAUAUGUUAAGAGUGAUAAUCUCAAUGAGAAUCUCAAGAUACAUAGUUUAAAUUUUUGGGUACAGAACAAUUACCCUUGCAAGUCAUAAACACCAUGACAUGGAUUUGAAAGAAAUGUUGUAAAGGACAUUGAAAUAAAGAGAAUGAACUUAUCGGUUUGGAUAUUCAUUCAUUCCAUUUGAUGCUCACAUCCUUUGCUUAACUGCUAUGAAACGUACGUGUAUGAUGAAUCCAUGUAUGAGUGGCUUGAUAUGCAACAGUACCAGGGGCCUUGAUUAACAGAUUCAUUUAGCCUAUGCUGCAAAUUUGGCGUGCAUGUUGGUAUUCAUUGUAAAUCCGGUCUCUGAAGGUAGCUGAACGAGCAAACCGAUGGUGUGAUCAGCUGAAAGGACUACUAAAUGUCUAAGUUCAAAGUGAUGGGAUGGAUAAUUAGUAAUGUGGGUUGUAAUGGCCCUGUGAAGCCUCUGUGUGUGUCUUCGCCUCUGAACUUGGAGAAGAUGUUCUUCCUUACUUCAAGGCGAAUACACUCCGAAACUACAUGGUCGCCAAAUUAUCGACCCCCACCAACCCUGAGUCCAACGGUCCACCAUCUCUCUCUGAGCCUCUUCUCAGAUCAUCGCCAUUCAGAUCUUCAUGACCAUUAAGUUGACCAUCAUCUGGUACUCUCUAAUCUUAGCAGUAAAAGACCACAUAUGAAGAUACCAAUUUGACUUGAAAAGAUUGAAAAUUUUAUCCAAGAUUGGUAUGCCAUUGCAUAGAGUUUACACACUGUUAAUGAAUUGAUGCCCCAUGCCUGCAAUGAAGGAAACCUUGGCCGCUAGGGUAGGCAGAGAUCUUAUCUCUCGAGGAAUCCUCUGCCUGCUUUUGAGAUUGUUGAUCACAACAUUGAAUCCUUACCCAUCUCUAUCUAAUGUUCUAAAUCUUAUUGUCUUCUUAAAAAUGGGCAAAUUAGACUGGAUGUCUUUUAGGUUCUGUGUCUGGUGCCUGGCUGCCCUGAGAUUUUGGAGCUCCAGAAAACCAAUUUGGAGCCCUUUGGAACCCUUUUUACAUAGGUUUUGAAGGUGGUGUAGUUUUAUUUAGUUAAGUUCACUUUUUCAGUUCAGUCAUGGAUCCUUUUGUCCAAUUAUUAAACCAUCAGAGCUAGCAGCUCUACUCGGCAUACCCAAAAGAGUUUGAUAGCUUGGAAGAUGGUUCCUGGAAAAUCAUGUUGAAUUCAUUCUUGUGUAAUUUUGUCUUCAUGAAAUGUUUAUGUCGCUGGGAUAGUCAUAGGUAUAUUAUUGCUCUUCAUAGCUUUU